rnacentral:rRNA from 1 species
UACAGAGGGUGCAAGCGUUAAUCGGAAUUACUGGGCGUAAAGCGAGCGUAGUCGGUUAUUUAAGUCGGAUGUGAAAUCCCCGGGCUCAACCUGGGAAUUGCAUUCGAUACUGGAUAGCUAGAGUUCGGCAGAGGGAAGCGGAAUUUCUGGUGUAGCGGUGAAAUGCGUAGAUAUCAGAAGGAACAUCAGUGGCGAAAGCGGCUUCCUGGACCAGAACUGACGAUCAGGCUCGAAAGCGUGGGGAACAAACAGG